UACGAAGGGGGCUAGCGUUGUUCGGAAUCACUGGGCGUAAAGCGUAUGUAGGCGGAUCGUUAAGUCGGGGGUGAAAUCCCGAGGCUCAACCUCGGAACUGCCUUCGAUACUGGCGAUCUUCGAGUCCGGGAGAGGUGAGUGGAACUCCGAGUGUAGAGGUGAAAUUCGUAGAUAUUCGGAAGAACACCAGUGGCGAAGGCGGCUCACUGGCCCGGUACUGACGCUGAUAUACGAAAGCGUGGGGAGCAAACCGG
rnacentral:rRNA from 1 species